AGAGUUUGAUCCUGGCUCAGGAUAAACGCUGGCGGCGUGCAUAACACAUGCAAGUCGAACGAUGAAACUUAAAUGAUUUCUUCGGAAUGAACUUAAGUGGAUUAGUGGCGAACGGGUGAGUAACACGUGAGUAACCUGCCCCCUUCUUUUGGAUAACCGCAUGAAAGUGUGGCUAAUACAGGAUAUUCCAGGCUGGUCGCAUGAUUGGUUUGGGAAAUGGUUUGGUCUGGUGGGGGAUGGGCUCGCGGCCUAUCAGCUUGUUGGUGGGGUGAUGGCCUACCAAGGCGGUGACGGGUAGCCGGCCUGAGAGGGUGGGCGGUCACACUGGGACUGAGAUACGGCCCAGACUCCUACGGGAGGCAGCAGUGGGGGAUUUUGCACAAUGGGCGCAAGCCUGAUGCAGCGACGCCGCGUGAGGGAUGAAGGCCUUCGGGUUGUAAACCUCUUUCGCUGGGUUGAAAGGCCAUGCUUUGGGUGUGGUUGAUUUGAACUGGUAAAGAAGUACCGGCUAACUACGUGCCAGCAGCCGCGGUAAUACGUAGGGUACUAGCGUUGUCCGGAUUUAUUGGGCGUAAAGGGCUUGUAGGUGGUUUGUCGCGUCUGUCGUGAAAUCCUGUGGCUUAACCAUGGGCUUGCGGUGGGUACGGGCAGGCUUGAGUGCGGUAGGGGAGACUGGAAUUCCUGGUGUAGCGGUGGAAUGCGCAGAUAUCAGGAGGAACACCGGUGGCGAAGGCGGGUCUCUGGGCCGUUACUGACACUGAGGAGCGAAAGCGUGGGGAGCGAACAGGAUUAGAUACCCUGGUAGUCCAUGCUGUAAACGUUGGGCACUAGGUGUGGGGGCCGUGUGGUUUCUGCGCCGUAGCUAACGCAUUAAGUGUCCCGCCUGGGGAGUACGGCCGCAAGGCUAAAACUCAAAGGAAUUGACGGGGACCCGCACAAGCGGCGGAGCAUGCGGAUUAAUUCGAUGCAACGCGAAGAACCUUACCAAGGCUUGACAUGCACCGGUACAGUGUAGAGAUAUGCUGGCCUUUUUGGCUGGUGUGCAGGUGGUGCAUGGUUGUCGUCAGCUCGUGUCGUGAGAUGUUGGGUUAAGUCCC
rnacentral:rRNA from 1 species